rnacentral:rRNA from 1 species
AUGGUGGCGCUUGGCGGCAGUGAAGCUCUAGGGCAGCGCGAGGACGAUGGGUGCGGGCACGAGAAUGAGGUAGGGCUCGGCAGAGGGAGGACAUCGGCAGAGGAAGGCAACGCGGAGCAGAGGCACGGAGUGGGGUCAGGAGAUCGGGCGCAGACGCGAGAGGAUUUGCGGUCUGCGUGCGGUUCCUGUGGGUGGCGGCGUGAGGAAGAUGGAGAUCGAGGAGAGGGAUCAAUGGAGAAGGGGUUCGAGCGUGGCUGGGCCUAG